UACAGAGGGGGCAAGCGUUAUUCGGAAUUAUUGGGCGUAAAGGGCGCGUAGGCGGCUUGGCAAGUGGAUGGUGAAAUCCCUCGGCUUAACCGAGGAACUGCCGUCCAAACUGCUUUGCUUGAGACCGGGAGAGGUGAGUGGAAUUCCCAGUGUAGCGGUGAAAUGCGUAGAUAUUGGGAGGAACACCAGUGGCGAAGGCGGCUCUCUAGUACGGUACUGACGCUGAGACGCGAAAGCGUGGGGAGCGAACAGG
rnacentral:rRNA from 1 species